GUCUACGGCCAUACCACCCUGAACACACCCAAUCUUGUCUGAUCUCAGAAGGAUAAGAAGGUGUGGAUGCAUGUGUAGUGAGUGGUGUGUGUAUCUGUGUGGAGU
rnacentral:rRNA from 1 species